UUCUAGCAAGUGGAUGGAGAUUAUUAAUUCAUUUUACACGGGUCACCAAAAAGCCAUAAGUCAGUACCUGUUUUAACUCACUAUCAUCCUGGACCAAAUCCACAGGUAACCAACACCAUCACAAGAGAUUGGCUCCUGGGUGAAGAGCAGCUGGCUCAAAUUAAGAUCAGAAAAGACUAUUUAUGAAGACUCUGGUUGCAACACUCAAAUGUUAAGCCAUUUUUGGAUAGACACUAUAAGGCAAUCACUGUGAAUAGGAUGCAACAAAAGCCAUCUGAAGAUGGUAGUUUUUAGCAGUCUUCAUGUGGUUUUGUACAUGUAGAGGGAAAAAGAGAUAUCUACAUUAAAGAAAGGAAAAUCCAGACAACAGCAUUCUUUGAACCCAGAG